GACGAACGCUGGCGGCGUGCUUAACACAUGCCAGUCGAACGGAAAGGCCCUGCUUUUGUGGGGUGCUCGAGUGGCGAACGGGUGAGUAACACGUGAGUAACCUGUCCUUGACUUUGGGAUAACUUCAGGAAACUGGGGCUAAUACCGGAUAGGAGCUCCUGCUGCAUGGUGGGGGUUGGAAAGUUUCGGCGGUUGGGGAUGGACUCGCGGCUUAUCAGCUUGUUGGUGGGGUCGUGGCUUACCAAGGCUUUGACGGGUAGCCGGCCUGAGAGGGUGACCGGCCACAUUAGGACUGAGAUACGGCCCAGACUCCUACGGGAGGCAACAGUGGGGAAUAUUGCACAAUGGGCGGAAGCCUGAUGCAGCAACGCCGCGUGCGGGAUGACGGCCUUCGGGUUGUAAACCGCUUUCGCCUGUGACGAAGCGUGAGUGACGGUAAUGGGUAAAGAAGCACCGGCUAACUACGUG
rnacentral:rRNA from 1 species